rnacentral:rRNA from 1 species
GACGAACGCUGGCGGCGUGCUUAACACAUGCAAGUCGAACGGAAAGGCCCUGCUUUUGUGGGGUGCUCGAGUGGCGAACGGGUGAGUCACACGUGAGUAACCUGCCCUUGACUUUGGGAUAACUUCAGGAAACUGGGGCUAAUACCGGAUAGGAGCUCCUGCUGCAUGGUGGGGGUUGGAAAGUUUCGGCGGUUGGGGAUGGACUCGCGGCUUAUCAGCUUGUUGGUGGGGUUGUGGCUUACCAAGGCUUUGACGGGUAGCCGGCCUGAGAGGGUGACCGGCCACAUUGGGACUGCGAUACGGCCCAGACUCCUACGGGAGGCAGCAGUGGGGAAUAUUGCACAAUGGGCGGAAGCCUGAUGCAGCAACGCCGCGUGCGGGAUGACGGCCUUCGGGUUGUAAACCGCUUUCGCCUGUGACGAAGCGUGAGUGACGGUAAUGGGUAAAGAAGCACCGGCUAACUACGUG